AGGGAAUAUUGGGCAAUGGACGCAAGACUGACGCAGCGACGCCGCGUGUGGGAGGAAGCCCUUCGGGGUGUAAACCACUGUCGGGAGGGACGAAUGGCGGACGGGCAAAUAGCCCGGACGAUUGACGGUAGCUCCAAAGGAAGCACCGGCUAACUCCGUGCCAGCAGCCGCGGUAAGACGGAGGGUGCAAGCGUUGUUCGGAAUUACUGGGCGUAAAGCGCGGGCAGGUGGUCUUUUAAGUCCUUUGUGAAAUCCCGGGGCUCAACUCCGGAUGUGCAUAGGAUACUGGAAGACUUGAGACUGGUAGAGGCGAGCGGAAUUCCUGGUGUAGCGGUGGAAUGCGUAGAUAUCAGGAAGAACACCGGUGGCGAAGGCGGCUCGCUGGGCCAGUUCUGACACUCAUCCGCGAAAGCGUGGGGAGCAAA
rnacentral:rRNA from 1 species